AGCAGCCGCGGUAAUUCCAGCUCCAAUAGCGUAUAUUAAAGUUGUUGCAGUUAAAAGCUCGUAGUUGAAUUUCGGGACCAAUAUGUCGGUCGUGCUUCGGUACGUACUGCAUUAUUGGUUUCUCCCUUCUGAAGAACCUUGAUGUCAUUAAUUUGGUGUCUUGGGGAAUCAGGACUGUUACUUUGAAAAAUUAGAGUGUUUAAAGCAGGCUCACGCUUGAAUACAUUAGCAUGGAAUAAUGAAAUAGGACGUUUGAUUCUAUUUUGUUGGUUUCUAGGAUCGACGUAAUGAUUAAUAGGGAUGGUUGGGGGCAUUAGUAUUCAAUUGUCAGAGGUGAAAUUCUUGGAUUUAUUGAAGACUAACUACUGCGAAAGCAUUUGCCAAGGAUGUUUUCAUUAAUCAAGAACGAAAGUUAGGGGAUCGAAGACGAUCAGAUACCGUCGUAGUCUUAACCAUAAACUAUGCCGACUAGGGAUCGGAUGAUGUUAUUUUUAAUGACUCAUUCGGCGCCUUACGGGAA
rnacentral:rRNA from 1 species